AUUCCAGUUCCAAUAGCGUAUAUUAAAGUUGUUGCAGUUAAAAAGCUCGUAGUUGGAUUUCUGUGAGAGUGCCGGUGUCGGCUGAUGCUUGUACGCAGGCGCUCUUACAUCCUUCUGUUAACUGUUCUUGGCAUUUUAUUGCUGGUUCAGGGCUCAGAUAUUUUACCUUGAGAAAAUUAGAGUGUUUCAGGCAGGCUUAUGCCGGAAUACAUUAGCAUGGAAUAAUGGAACAGGACCUGUGCGUCUCUCGGGGCGCCGGUCUCCGUUGUUGGUUUCGGGGACUAAUGUAAUGAUUAAUAGGGAUAGUUGGGGGCAUUAGUAUUUAAUAGUCAGAGGUGAAAUUCUCGGAUUUGUUAAAGACUAACUUAUGCGAAAGCAUUUGCCAAGGAUGUUUUCAUUA
rnacentral:rRNA from 1 species